GAAGGAUCGAUCCUUCCUAGAUGCGUGGCAGAUUGUGAUUGGUUCCAGAGUUGGAAAAUUUUUUGGUUUGAGAAUUUUUUUUGUCUCGAACAUUUCUUCUCCUUCGUCGAGAAAGACUUUUCGACUUCUCCAAUCCCUACUCGAUCCCUCCUCGUGGUGUCCAUCGUCGACGAGCGUCUUCCUCGACCGUGUACAAUCGCAUCACCGCCGCCUUCUUGUCUUCCAAUCUCCUCCUGAACAGCGGCGGCGCAUCACCGACUGAUCUGACUGAUGAGAAAUUCUGAAGAUUCCGAUCUUCUGAAUCCUUUCGUGACAUUUUGGGUUCAUGUGCAUUGCUCUAAUAUGGAAGUUCGACUUUUCGCCAUUCAUGGUUUUGAUCAUUGCUAUCUUAAACGAUGGAUAGAGUUGUGCCUUCUCCUACACCAGAUAGCUGGAAACUCAAAGAAAUCUUCGCAACAUGAAUUGUCCUUGGAGGCUACAUGGCUUUAAUGACCGUCGUUUUCUUCUGGGCUACUUACAUGGCUCGAUCUCUUCGCGUCUUUGGUCAACUGUUUCAAUUUGCUUGGUUUAGCUUCUCAUCACGAGAACGUUGAUGUCAUUGUGAUAUGUCCAUGAUCUUGAAGUCGACAUUCAUAGAUUUACAUUGAUCAUCAUUAUUUUUUAUAUGGGAUUGCCACUGGUAUUAUCCAAGAUGUUUCUGAUACUUAUUGUUAUGCUAAGUGAUCACAAAAUUCUGUUCGGAGC